rnacentral:tRNA from 1 species
GGUGUAGCUCAGCUGGUAGAGCAUCUGGUUGUGGUCCAGAGGGUCGCGGGUUCAAAUCCCGUCAC